rnacentral:rRNA from 1 species
CAACGAGUCGCAAGACCGCGAGGUUUAGCAAAUCUCUUAAAGCCGUUCUCAGUUCGGAUUGUAGGCUGCAACUCGCCUACAUGAAGUCGGAAUCGCUAGUAAUCGCGGAUCAGCAUGCCGCGGUGAAUACGUUCCCGGGCCUUGUACACACCGCCCGUCACACCAUGAGAGUUUGUAACACCCAAAGCCGGUGGGGUAACCUUUUGGAGCCAGCCGUCUAAGGUGGGACAGAUGAUUGGGGUGAAGUCGUAACAAGGUAGC